rnacentral:rRNA from 1 species
AGUAACGCGUGGGGAACCUGCCUCAUACAGGGGAAUAACAGAUGGAAACGUCUGCUAAUGCCGCAUAAGCGCACACUGUGGCAUCACAGAGUGUGAAAAACUCCGGUGGUAUGAGAUGGCCCCGCGUCUGAUUAGGCAGUUGGCGGGGUAACGGCCCACCAAACCGACGAUCAGUAGCCGACCUGAGAGGGUGACCGGCCACAUUGGGACUGAGACACGGCCCAAACUCCUACGGGAGGCAGCAG